rnacentral:rRNA from 1 species
AUUGAACGCUGGCGGCAAGCCUAACACAUGCAAGUCGAACGAGUGGCGGACGGGUGAGUAAUGUCUGGGAAACUGCCUGAUGGAGGGGGAUAACUACUGGAAACGGUAGCUAAUACCGCAUACCAUUGGAUGUGCCCAGAUGUGAUUGGCUAGUAGGUGGGGUAAAGCCUCACAUAGGCGACGAUCCCUAGCUGGUCUGAGAGGAUGACCAGCCACACGUGAACUGAGACACGGUCCAAACUCCUACGGGAGGCAGCAGUGGUGAAUAUGGCACAAUGGGCGCAAGCCUGAGUCAGCCAUGCCGCGUGUAUGAAGAAGGCCUUCGGGUUGUAAAGUACUUUCAGCGGGGAGGCGUUACCCGCAGAAGAAGCACCGGCUAACUCCGUGCCAGCAGCCGCGGUAAUAC